rnacentral:lncRNA from 1 species
GCUAGUAGGAAACAGCAGAAGAAUAUAAAGAAGAAGUGGUUUCUGUUGAUGAAGCUUGAGGCCUGUUACAUGAGGUAGCAAGGUGUUGGUAAAGCUGCAGGAGAAGCUUCUGUGGGAAGAGGCUAGGGACUAACUGUUGCAGGACAGUGCUGAGUCCAUGAGCCAAGCUGGUUGCACCACUCUGAAAACAUUUAAGAAAGAGCAGAAAUCACCAAGCGGAGAGGAGAAGGAAAGAGAAAGUACUGAGAAACAGCAGAGGGAACACCAAGGUGAGUAGAAAUGCUCCAUGGUAGAGCAGAUGUUUCCAAAGGGACUGCAGCCCUUGGGGGACCCAUGCUGGAUCAGAAGAAAAGAGAACGAAGGAGCAGUGGUGAUCCUGACCACAGCCAGCCCUGUGCAACUUGUUGCCUCACUGAAUGGAUUGAAUGUAACCUUCAGUAAUAACAAGGGGGAGAAGAGGAUCCUGGAGCACAGGAAAAAAAAGAGAGGUUCUACAUUAUCUGUGUUGUGUAUUCCUUGAAGGACACACAAACCAACUGCCCUCCUUCCAACAUCAGCGAAAAGCCAUGACUGUUGCACAAGAUUCAUAUCAGAGCUGGAGCCACUAAAAUCAUUCUGGUUAAGAUUUCUCUUUGUCUUAGCGGUUAUACUAGACAUGAAAACCUGACUUUUCUUUUCAAACAAUCUCAUUUAAUUAAGAUUUGUAUGAUAUGUGGUUUAAGAUUUGGAUUCCUGUAGCAGAUAAGCACUAAAAGAA